rnacentral:rRNA from 1 species
AGAGUUUGAUCCUGGCUCAGGAUGAACGCUGGCGGCAUGCCUAAUACAUGCAAGUCGAACGAGAGGAAGGAAAGCUUGCUUUCCUGAAUCUAGUGGCGAACGGGUGAGUAACACGUAGGUAACCUGCCCAUGUGCCCGGGAUAACUUCUGGAAACGGAUGCUAAAACCGGAUAGGUAGCAGACAAGCAUUUGACUGCUAUUAAAGUGGCCUUGGCCAUGAACAUGGAUGGACCUGCGGUGCAUUAGCUGGUUGGUGAGGUAACGGCCCACCAAGGCGACGAUGCAUAGCCGGCCUGAGAGGGCGGACGGCCACAUUGGGACUGAGACACGGCCCAAACUCCUACGGGAGGCAGCAGUAGGGAAUUUUCGUCAAUGGGGGGAACCCUGAACGAGCAAUGCCGCGUGAGUGAGGAAGGUCUUCGGAUCGUAAAGCUCUGUUGUAAGAGAAAAACGGCACUCAUAGGGAAUGAUGAGUGAGUGAUGGUAUCUUACCAGAAAGUCACGGCUAACUACGUGCCAGCAGCCGCGGUAAUACGUAGGUGGCGAGCGUUAUCCGGAAUUAUUGGGCGUAAAGAGGGAGCAGGCGGCACUAAGGGUCUGUGGUGAAAGAUCGAAGCUUAACUUCGGUAAGCCAUGGAAACCGUAGAGCUAGAGUGUGUGAGAGGAUCGUGGAAUUCCAUGUGUAGCGGUGAAAUGCGUAGAUAUAUGGAGGAACACCAGUGGCGAAGGCGACGAUCUGGCGCAUAACUGACGCUCAGUCCCGAAAGCGUGGGGAGCAAAUAGGAUUAGAUACCCUAGUAGUCCACGCCGUAAACGAUGAGAACUAGGUGUUGGGGGAAUAACUCAGUGCCGCAGUUAACGCAGUAAGUUCUCCGCCUGGGGAGUAUGCACGCAAGUGUGAAACUCAAAGGAAUUGACGGGGGCCCGCACAAGCGGUGGAGUAUGUGGUUUAAUUCGAAGCAACGCGAAGAACCUUACCAGGCCUUGACAUCCCUUGCAGAGGUAUAGAGAUAUAUCCGAGGUUAUCAAGGAGACAGGUGGUGCAUGGUUGUCGUCAGCUCGUGUCGUGAGAUGUUGGGUU